AUUUAAGUAGUUUAAAUAAAAUAUUGAUUUGUGGUGUCAAUGAUGUAUUAAUAUACCUUAAAUU
rnacentral:tRNA from 1 species